rnacentral:rRNA from 1 species
UCUUGAGCCAUAUCUCCCUGCAGUUCUCGCUUGGUUUCCCACUGAAGCUAAGCAGGCUUGAGUACCUGGAUGGGAGACCUCUUGGGGAAAGCUAAGGU